rnacentral:rRNA from 1 species
CCCUACGGGGUGCAGCAGGCGCGAAAACUUGACAAUGCGAGAAAUCGUGACCAGGGAACUCCAAGUGGCCCACUUUUUAGUGGUGUCUGAACCGACUCUAAACAGGUCGGGUAAUAGGGGCGGGAAAUAUCGGUGCCAGCCGCCGCGGUAAUACCGAAGCCCCAAGUGGUCGUCGAUCUUAUUGGGCCUAAAACGUCCGUAGCCGGUUUGGUACAUUCGUGGGUAAAUCAAACAGCUUAACUGUUUGAAUUCUGCGAGGACGGCCAAACUUGAGACCGGGAGAGGUGUAGGGUACCUGCGGGGUAGGGGUAAAAUCCUGUCAUCCCGUAGGGACCACCAGUUGCGAAGGCUCUACACUAGAACGGAUCUGACGGUCAGGGACGAAGCCUAGGGGCACGAACCGGAUUAGAUACCCGGGUAGUCCUAGGUGUAAACGCUGUGGACUUUGUGUCGGGGGUCUUUCGAGGACUCUCGGUGCCGGAGUGAAGAUGUUAAGUCCACUGCCUGGGGAGUACGGUCGCAAGGCUGAAACUUAAAGGAAUUGGCGGGGGAGCACCGCAACGAGAGGAGCGUGCGGUUUAAUUGGAUUCAACGCCGGAAAACUCACCAAAGCCGACUGUUAGAUGAAGACCAGCGUAACGAGCUUGUCGGAUUUUCAGAGAGGAAGUGCAUGGCCA